UUUAACUUCAAGUGCUCCCUUCUUGGGGGUCCCGCGUCUCGCCGAACUUUUUCUUUUAAGAACAGGCGGAUGUCAGUGACAAGUUAAUAGCUCUCGCUGCGCUCCAAGGUUAAACAGAACCUCAUUUGUGCCCGGAGUCUCCUUCUACCGACCUGCCGGAGGCCGCCUGGGCAGGCACUCAACUAGCGAAGGUGCCUAGUGACAUGGCUCUAAUCCUCGGAUCGGAACUGGUACUUCUGCCUGGAAGACUGGGCCGGCUUUGCCAUUCCUCUCAGCGGUCCCGAAAAGCCAAUCCGUUCUGAGCUACACUGAUGGCGGGGCUGGAGGAGGAGGGCUACUUUCAACUUCUGGCACCACCUGGGUGGUCGCCAUAAAGAAUACUCUACUGAAGUCGAGCAUAAUCCACACAAAACAACAAAGAACAACAACAACAAAAAAAACAACCCACUGUGCAAAGUCAACACAGCAGUGUGGAAUACAGUGAAACCCAUUAUGGACUGUGAUGGGCCUUCCAAGGCCCAUGUAACCUGGUGGGAACUGGUGGAGAGGACCAUGAAUCAAUUUACUCUAUUCUCAAGAAUAAGAAGUAGCCUAAGCCACAGAUCCUCUUUGGAAAGUUUUUUUCUAGGUUGGCAAUGCUUUCUUACACUCACUAUAAAUAAUUAUGAUCACUUGUCUGUGAAUGAACAACUAGUAGGUACCUCCAUGACUUACUCUUUGAAUGCCCAGCUGCUAGCCUAAGGCCACAAGCAGCAGACAUUAUGCACUUUUACUGAAUGAAUAAUCAGUCUAGGACCAAAUAUCUGAUUCAAAGGGCACUAGGUGAAAAGCAUCAUGACAAACAGUGCUGUUACUGUGGUUAUUUUCUGUAAGUCUAUCUUAUUUAAGAAUAACUUCCCCUGUAUGCCAUAGGGAGAACUCUCUUUGAACAAUGGUUCUGUGUGUCAUAUAUUUUGUUAUUGCUAGACUUCCAAGAUAUUUAAUCACUUCUAUUUGCAAUGAAUGUGCUAAUCAGAAGAAUGUCUCAAGUAAAUUUGUGUAUUUCCCCAUUGGGUCACAUUGUAAUUUCAGAGAUAUUUUAAUUUUAUUCUAAUCAAGGGACUUUAGUUUCAAUGUGUUUGUCAUUCUCUCAAGAAGAUACAUUCAGAAUGUGUUUGUAAUGUAAAUUCUCACCCCCUAAUUUAUAUGUUGUCAAGUUUGGGUUUUAGUAUACUGUAUUUGACUUUCUUAAAGCAGGGCACACCUGAAUAAGCUUUGGGGAUAAAAGGAAUACAAAAAAAAUUGUGAGCAAAACAUCUGAUAUAGUUUUACUUGCAAAGUUCAAAUUUUCUGAAUGGGAUCAAGAUGGCAUGGCUUGAAAUGUGGCUGAAGGGAAUAAGAGAAAUAUGGGAAAUGUCUACAUAUCUGAAAGCAGUAGUGAUGAAGGUCUUAUACCAUAUUUCCUUGUGUAUUUCUCCUUAGAUAUUUCCACACAUGCACAAACACAUUGAAGAAAGCACAUGGAGAAUUGCCCUGUCUCUUCCCUAGAAUCAUUACUGUCCCAUACAUUCUUCUGUUAUGCG